AACGAACGCUGGCGGCAUGCCUAACACAUGCAAGUCGAACGACACCUCCGGGUCAAGUGGCGCACGGGUUCGUAACGCGUGGGAUCCUGCCCUUAGGUUUGCCAUAACUCCCCGGAUGGGGUGCUAAUACCGGCGAUUGUCUUCGGACCAAAGAUUUAUUGCCUUAGGAUGGGCCCGCGUGGGCUUAGCUGGUUGGUAGGGUAAGUGCCUACCAGAGCGACGUUCCAUAGCUGGUCUGUGAGGAUGCUCAGCCACACUGGGACUGAGACACGGCCCAGACUCUUGCGGGAGGCGGCAGUGGGGAAUAUUGGACAAUGGCCGAAAGCAUGAUCCAGCAAGGCUGCGUGAGUGAUGAAGGCCGUAGGGUUGUAAAGCUCUUUUACCCGGGAUGAUAAUGACAGUACCGUAAGAAUAAGCUCCGGCUAACUCCGUG
rnacentral:rRNA from 1 species